ensembl:misc_RNA 7SK 7SK RNA
GGAUAUGAGGGCAGUAUGCCUGUGGCAUCUGUCGCCCCAUUGUUCUCCAGGGUUGAAUGUGCUGAUCUGGCUGAGGCAGGUGUCACCUUCCUCCAUAGCCCCUCCAGGCGCACCCCUCCUGUAUCUUUCUUUAAGAGGCUAGCCUUCACCAAUGGGGAACUAAUCUUCUUGUUCCUUGGAUAGAGUCACCAAACCCUCAGGAGGAGCCGCAAAGGCAGUACAGUGUCUGUCUGCAGCCUUCAUGC